GAAUAUGACAUAUAUUUUACAACUGUAAUAGGUCAAAACAUAUCUUAUCAAUUGUUUUCAAAUAUCUUUUUUUUAUAAUAAUUCCAUCUUGUAAUUUUUUGCUUGUUUACCAGAGAUUUAACACUAGUACUGUUUUUAUAUCUUUCUGCCAGCAUUAGCAGUGUAUACGUAGCACGAUUGCAUAAAUAUGUCGUUUAGAAUGUCAAAUCAAUUUUUAAGUCUUUUUUCAGUAAUUAAUGUAUUUUAUAAUGUAUUUCAUAUAAUUUAAAUUUAAAAACUUACCUGUUGGAAUGCCUAAAGCUUUAGAUCCUCUGCCAAAACCUUUUACCACUAAACCGGUUAAAUAAAGCGGUAAACUUUCAGUAUACAUAGUGUUGCGUCGCGUCUGCUCACACUGUUGACGUCGUAAGUGAAGUUACAGUUUACAGUAAGAUUACUUCAUUUUAUAUAGUAUUUCAAGGAGAUAAAACAUUGAUAAUAUACAACUCGAGUAUUAAAGUGACUUUACCUGCAAAAUAUAUGAUUUGUAUGCACUAAAUUGUGUUCCUGUGUAAACAGUUCUCCACUACAGCACGUGAUUGAUAAUUUGUUCCCUAAUAUGAGUGUCGAAUAAACUAACUUCAGAUUCAGAAACAGAAAGUUCUUCAAAUUUUCAUAAACAAAACAAUGACCAACCUACUGUUUUGAAAGAGACAAAAGCAGGGUACUAAAAAAAAGUAUCAGCACAUAAAUUAUAACAUACAAAAUGUGUGACUUAGAUGUUUUACGACCUAUCAAAGAUUUAAAGAUUAAUAUGUCGAAAGUAUCAUGUGAGCCAUUAAAUUUACAUUUUAAUGUGUACAAUAAUUUAGUGUAAGUGUAAAAUUUUAAGUUGCAUGGUUUGUUCAGCAAUUAGUAAUUAUUCAACCAAAGCCAGAUAAACCUAUUCUAAAUUUAAGAACAAUUUUAUUUGUUGAAGAAGGAAAAAGGACAUUGGGUAAAAUAUAUGAUGUUUUUGGACAAAUAGACCCCUAUUAUUGUGUCAGGUUCAACAGUCCAGAGCACAUUCGCAAAUGUAACAUUGAAGUAGGCAUGACUGUUUAUUAUUCUCUAAAUACAAAGCACAUAUCUUUAGUAUUUUUAGAUGGGUUACUAAAGUAAAUCUAUUUACAAUUAUAUUAUUUCAUUUUAAUAUUUAAUAUCAAAUCUUAUUUAAUGAUUUGUUUGUUUUUAUGCAUGGAAGCAAGCGAGAGGAUAUUUCCAAAAAAACGUGCUUCAAGUAAGUUAUUUAUACAAUGUUGUAAUUUAUGUACUCAUUUAGGUUUAAAAUGGCAAUCACAUCAUCUUUGCAACAAAAAUAAACAAAAUAAUCAAGAAGAAGAUCCAAGAGAAGAUCAGAAAUAAUUUCCUUGUACGAUGUUGUAUUGUUUCGAACAUUAUUGUGUAUUUUUAUUAAUGUACACCGAUAUGCUGACCGCUGGCUUUCAAGCAGAGGUUGAAAACAAUUGUGAUAUUGGUUUCAGUUCUUAAAACAGUUAUGAAGAACCGUAAUGUUCUCAUAACUCUUAUAUAUCGAUUUCGGUUCUCCAUAAUUGUUUUAGUUAGAACCCAUAUAUAACAGUUUGGAACAGUUAUUUUCGAAACCUUUCCAAUCUCUGCUUUUAAGUUUGCCGACUGCCUCGCGCGAUUUUCGUUUUAUCUCUUUUUCUCUCACGAGAUGAUACUGAAUUAUGUAUGUUAUGAAUAUGUGAAGACUUUUGAUCUCUUAAUAGUUGUAAUUAUGACUUUUUUUUUACCAUGUUACAUGUAGUACACUAUGCGAAUUAAAUAAGUAAAAAAAGAACUGCAUUCAUAA